rnacentral:rRNA from 1 species
AUGUUCCUCGGGCUCCAUUAUCCAAUCAUCCAACCAAUUAUCGAUCAUAUCAUCGGCGAUGAUUACCGUGCUAUGGAACUUCCAUUCGCCAGGGGGAACUAUGUUUACACAUCAUACCAUGGGUUUCAUGAAUCACCAUAUCCAGAGAUUCGUCGACACAGCUUGUUGCCAGAUAAUCUUCAGUGCUUGAAAGGCAUCAAGCUUCCAUGCGAUGGAUGGCUUUUGCAAACCCGACAUGCGUACCAUAUAAAUGGAAUUAACCGAUGCCACUCCAAGAAGGAUUGGCCGGUGCUGCCGGCUGGCGUCAAGUUCGAUCCCACGGAUCAGGAGCUGAUCGAGCACCUUGAGGCCAAAGUGAGUGCUGACAGCGUGAGAUCUCACCCUCUCAUCGAUUUGUUCAUACCAACCAUCGACAGCGAGUAUGGCAUAUGCUACACCCAUCCUGAGAAACUUCCAGGUAUCACACUGAGUGGCCUAAGCAAGCAUUUCUUCCAGCGCAAUUCUAGGGUGUUCAAAAGGGGCACGUGGACGUGUCGUAAGAUACAGUCGGAGAGCGGCAUGCACGCGAUGUGGCACAAGACCGGCAAUACCUUGCCGGUGAUGGUCAACGGCCAGCAGAUGGGCGGCAAAAAGGUGAUGCACCAGUACCACCUCGGGGACUUGGAGCAAGAGAAGGAGCGGGAGCUGGUCCUCUCCAAGAUUUUCCACCAGACGAACACUAGGGCCAGGAGUAAAAAGAUUAUAAGCCCAGCCCAUGACGACAACGGGGCACAAAGAUCUAGCAGGUAUCUACAGGCCUCGGCUCGCCAGCUUUAG